GACUACCCGGGUAUCUAAGCCCGUUCGCUCCCCACGCUUUCGCUCCUCAGUGUCAGAUAAUGUCCAGAAGACUGUCUUCACCAUUGGCGUUCCUCGUGAUAUCUACGCAUUUCACUGCUACACCACGAGUUCCAUCUUCCCCUACAUAUCUCUAGGCAAAUAGUUUUGAAUACUUUCCCCCAGUUGAGCCGGGGUAUUUAAUAUCCAACUUAUAAGCCCACCUACGAGCUCUUUACGCCCAAUGAAUCCGGGUAAUGUUUGCACCCUACGUAUUACCGCGGCUGCUGGCACGUAGUUAGCCGGUGCUUAUUCAUCUGGUACCUUCAAGAUUAUUCCCAGAUAAAAGAAGUUUACGAUCCGAAAACCUUCAUCCUUCACGCAGUGUUGCUGCAUCAGGCUUUCGCCCAUUGUGCAAAAUUCCCCACUGCAGCCCCCCGUAGG
rnacentral:rRNA from 1 species